rnacentral:rRNA from 1 species
CUGGCUCAGAACGAACGCUGGCGGCAGGCCUAAACCAUGCAAGUUGAACGGCCAUAGCAAUAUGGCAGUAGCGCAAGGGUGAGUAAUGUAUGGGAACGUAUCUUUUGGUGGGGAAUAUUCUUUGGAAACGAAGAGCAAUACCGCAUAAGCCCUACGGGGGAAAGAUUUAUCGCCGAUUGAGCGGCCCAUAUUGGAUUAGCUAGUUGGUUGGGUAAUGGCCGACCAAGGCUGUGAUCCAUAGCUGGUCUGAGAGGACGAUCAGCCACACUGGGACUGAGACACGGCCCAGACUCCUACGGGAGGCAGCAGGUAGGAAUAUUGGACAAUGGGGGCAACCCUGAUCCCAGCCAUGCCGCGUGAGUGUUAAGGCCUUCGGGUUGUAAAGCUCUUUUGUAUGGGAAAAUGAUGAUGGUACCAUAAGAAUAAGCACCGGCUAACUUCGUGCCAGCCGCCGC